UGCUCGAUAGCUCAUCCGGUCAGAGCGCCUGUCCCACACACAGGAGGUCGCUGGUUCGACUCCAGCUCGAGCAA
rnacentral:tRNA from 1 species